rnacentral:lncRNA from 1 species
GACCGAAGGAGUACUAGUAUAGCAUAUUGGCCCCUUGCAAUUAAUUACCUUCCGUUAAUUAUAUUGCACUGUUUCUCUCUCUCUCAGAGUCUUUCCAUGUUUUUCUCACUUAACCAAGGCACCAAGCACUAGUAAUUUUUUCUUCCGAGAGUGUCUGCAUUUGCUGUAGAGCAUGUAUUGUGUGGAACGUCUGCAGAGCGAUGGACAUAUUUAACAGUGCUGCUUCCAUUGCAUUAUUGCAACCCCACCUGUUGCAAGCAAGAUCCAAAUCUUCAGGAUCUCUGGAGGGAAGAUUCGGCGCAUUUUUAAUCCUGCGACGAGCCCAAUUUAGUAGGUUGCAGCUGAACAGAGAAGUUUUUUUUCUCUUUUUUUUUGCUUACAGGGGAGAACAAAGUUCUUCUAAUUUCCAUAACUUCAUUACUUGCAAGUUGUAAUCGAUUGCAGAAACUAUAAUAUUACUAAUGUCGUCAAGAUAUGCUUCUCCCUGAUUAUUAGCUACAACUGAUGAGUCUGAAGUCAGAACUCUAGAAGGUUGGGAUAUAUUCGUUUUGUGCAGCUGUCACGACUCACAAGUGAGACUGAGAAUGAUGACCGAUAACAGAGGUGAGGUAUGUAUUAGGUGCUGCCUGGCUCACUCUAUAUGAAUGAAUUCUGUCUUUUACGAGGUAAUUGCACCAGUGGCAGAGGUGGGAGCAGUUUAGUCCAACAAGUUGCUAAAUAAGCAAAACUAGUUCUAUAAGUUAAGAUUCGAGAGCAUUUUAGUCCAAUAGUCCGAAUUGGACAUGUGGCAGCUAGAUGGAGUCCCGCCGGGCCAUGAAAAUUUUGCAAAAAAAAAAACCCGAACAAGAACAAUUUGUACACACGCCCGCCGGUGAGGCCAUUGGAGGCGAAGGAGAACUUCCGGAGGGGGUUUUCAACAUAAAACACAGAACACAUGUCAACGCCGGAUUAGUUUGGAGCUCUAAGCAAUCUGAAUCUCAACUUCUGGGACUAGUUUUGCUCAUUUUGCAACUUGCUAGACUAAACUGUUCCCACCACUCAAGUUGUUGGGCCAGU